GCCCUGAAGAAGCGGGAGGUCGGUCUGACCCUGAGGAGAAAACAGUAGACUAGAAAAGCUAAGAUCUGGUGCCAUGAGCUCGACGCUAUAUUACAGGGGCUUACUUGGAAUGUGUUAAGUAAUUCUAUAACUAAAUAGUGAAAGGGUAGCCUAAGACCGACCUUCAGAGAUUCCUUAUAAAGGUCGAUCCGAUCUUGAC
rnacentral:lncRNA from 1 species